UGUCUUCUUUGUACGGCAUAUUACUUCAUAUUGCUUGUUGAUAACCCUAGAAAGCAUCAUCGACUCGUACAAUGCUGAUUAAUGUUGUGUUUUGUAGAUUUUGGUAGUACUAGUGCAAUGCUGCUAGUUGGCUAGGAGUCGAUAAUGGUUAUUAAUCGACAAUUUCAACUGGUCUAUGAUAUCAUAAUCAUAUUAAUUUCUAGUAACCUACUUCUGGUUAUGAUUAUUUGAUUAUUUCUUUUUCUGGAAUAGAUCCUAGAGGCAAACCACAUAUACAUUAUACAGUUUAGGAUCAAUUUCUGAAAACAACACCUGCAGAUGGCAAUAACCAUACUACAAUUCUUGAAUUCUUGAUUUCAUAAAAAUUGCUCUAUUAUACUUCACACAAUACAGACACAUACAUUACUGAUGUUUUUUGAAGAUUUAGCUUUGAAAUUAUAUCCACUAACCCGUUUUUCAUUGGUGUGGUGUCCUAUUUUAGAAUAUGAAGAAAUCCAAAUUCCAAUAUAAUAAAACAGAAAGUAAAUUUACUAUUUACCUGCGUUCUUUUAAUGACACUAAAUCCUUGAACAACUGAAGUUCAGUUGAGUGUAAUUCCAUGAGAAGAGCUUGUUUUUUAGUGGCAUUUCCCAAUUGAUAAGCAUGUUCAACAACUAGAUAAAAAGAUUCAAAAUUAAAUUUUAAUAUCAAGAGGCAUCAAAAUUCCAAUAUUGCCCUUUUAAUAUAUUUCACUUAAACCUCAAUAAUAUUGUAAUUUGUUACUCAUUUUUCUAUGCUCAUUAUUACCUGCCAUCAAAAUUACAAUAUUGCCCCUUGUCAUGGUAUUUUAAAACUUCUCUCUCCUUUGCAUUUGUUACUUUCCUCUGGUAAAUCAUAUUAACAUUCUAUGCUAUAAACUGACUAAUAAAUUGAAAUCAGAAAAACAGGAACAAAUAUAUCUAUAUUGUUUUUGUUAUCUUGUAUUUAUUCUUAUGGAAUUUUCGUUGUUUGAUUACACUUUUUUGGUAUGAGUUUUUUAUUCUUAUGGAUUUUUAAUUGUUCGUUGUUUAAUUCUUUCAUGGUUUCUUGAAUUUCCAAAGCCUUUUCAAGGUUGUAUAUGAGGAAAGAUAUCUUUAACAUAUCUUUACCCUCAUCGUUUUCUAUGAUCAUUUUUAUGCUCAUUUUCUUAUCAACGGGUUUGAGGUAGAAAGAAAAACUAGAAAAAGAAGUGUUGGUAAACCCAAAACGAAACAUCUUGAAGCAAGAUUUCCUGUUAUGGAGGCUUUGCAUAAAUGUUUUUGUAAGGCAUACAAUGAAUCAGCCACACAGGGGAAAGAGAGGUUAGAGGUGUGACAUUAACAAAUUUAAGAAUGUUUUUAUGUUUAAUGAACUAAGUUCAUUGUAAUUUUUUUUCUGUUUCUGAAAAUGAAAACAUGAUCAAUGAUGUCCCACUUCUUAUGGUUGGAAUGGAAUCAUAUAGUAGGUUUGUAUUUUGUAAAGAUUGAUCCUGCACAUGGUAAUCAUA